AUGGACCACGCCUCCACUCCGGUUGUGAAUGCACUGUCCACAACCAGCUGACGACGGCUCGCCAGGUUCUGUUCGCC
rnacentral:sRNA from 2 species